rnacentral:rRNA from 1 species
UACGUAGGGUGCGAGCGUUAAUCGGAAUUACUGGGCGUAAAGCGUGCGCAGGCGGUUCGCUGUGUCCGAUGUGAAAGCCCCGGGCUUAACCUGGGAAUGGCAUUGGAAACUGGCGAGCUGGAGUGUGGCAGAGGGGGGUGGAAUUCCGCGUGUAGCAGUGAAAUGCGUAGAGAUGCGGAGGAACACCGAUGGCGAAGGCAGCCCCCUGGGUUAACACUGACGCUCAGGCACGAAAGCGUGGGGAGCAACAGG